UUAGUGGCGAACGGGUGAGUAACAUAUCGGAACGUACCCAGUAAUGGGGGAUAACUAGUCGAAAGACUGGCUAAUACCGCAUACGCCCUGAGGGGGAAAGCGGGGGAUCGAAAGACCUCGUGUUAUUGGAGCGGCCGAUAUCUGAUUAGCUAGUUGGUGGUGUAAAGGCCUACCAAGGCGACGAUCAGUAGCUGGUCUGAGAGGACGACCAGCCACACUGGAACUGAGACACGGUCCAG
rnacentral:rRNA from 1 species